rnacentral:rRNA from 1 species
CGUAGGUGGCAAGCGUUGUCCGGAUUUAUUGGGUUUAAAGGGUGCGUAGGCGGUCAUGUAAGUCAGUGCUGAAAUAUCCCGGCUUAACCGGGAGGGUGGCAUUGAUACUGUAUGACUUGAGUAAAGUUGAGGUUGGCGGAAUUGACGGUGUAGCGGUGAAAUGCUUAGAUAUCGUCAGGAACACCUAUUGCGAAGGCAGCUAACUAAGCUUUAACUGACGCUGAGGCACGAAAGUGUGGGGAUCAAACAGGAUUAGAUACCCUGGUAGUCCACACUGUAAACGUUGAUUACUCGCUGUUGGCGAUACACAGCCAGCGGCUUAGCGCAAGCGAUAAGUAAUCCACCUGGGGAGUACGCCGGCAACGGUG